CAACAGGGAUUGCCCUAGUAACGGCGAGUGAAGCGGCAACAGCUCAAAUUUGAAAUCUGGCUCUUUCCGAGUUGUAAUUUGCAGAGGGCGCUUUGGCUUUGGUAGCGGUCCAAGUUCCUUGGAACAGGACGUCACAGAGGGUGAGAAUCCCGUACGUGGUCGCUAGCUAUUGCCGUGUAAAGCCCCUUCGACGAGUCGAGUUGUUUGGGAAUGCAGCUCUAAAUGGGAGGUAAAUUUCUUCUAAAGCUAAAUAUUGGCCAGAGACCGAUAGCGCACAAGUAGAGUGAUCGAAAGAUGAAAAGCACUUUGGAAAGAGAGUCAAACAGCACGUGAAAUUGUUGAAAGGGAAGCGCUUGCAGCCAGACUUGCUUGCAGUUGCUCAUCCGGGCUUUUGCCCGGUGCACUCUUCUGUAGGCAGGCCAGCAUCAGUUUGGGCGGUGGGAUAAAGGUCUCUGACACGUUCCUUCCUUCGGGUUGGCCAUAUAGGGGAGACGUCAUACCACCAGCCUGGACUGAGGUCCGCGCAUCUGCUAGGAUGCUGGCGUAAUGGCUGUAAGCGGCCCGUCUUGAAACACGGACCAAGGAGUCUAACAUCUAUGCGAGUGUUUGGGUGUCAAGCCCGAGCGCGUAAUGAAAGUGAACGGAGGUGGGAACCCGCAAGGGCGCACCAUCGACCGAUCCUGAAGUUUACGGAAGGAUUUGAGUAAGAGCAUGGCUGUUGGGACCCGAAAGAUGGUGAACUAUGCUUGAAUAGGGUGAAGCCAGAGGAAACUCUGGUGGAGGCUCGCAGCGGUUCUGACGUGCAAAUCGAUCGUCAAAUUUGGGCAU
rnacentral:rRNA from 1 species